rnacentral:rRNA from 1 species
UACAGGGGGUGCAAACGUUGCUCGGAAUCAUUGGGCGUAAAGCGCACGUAGGCGGUCUGUUAUGUCGGAUGUGAAAGCCCUGGGCUCAACCUGGGAACUGCAGUGGAUACUGGUCAGCUAGAGUGUGAUAGAGGAUGGUGGAAUUCCCGGUGUAGCGGUGAAAUGCGUAGAGAUCGGGAGGAACACCAGUGGCGAAGGCGGCCAUCUGGAUCAACACUGACGCUGAGGCACGAAAGCGUGGGGAGCAAACAGG